UUUAGUGGGCGGGACGGGUGAGUAACGCGUGGAUAACCUGCCGUAUACAGGGGGAUAACACUUAGAAAUAGGUGCUAAUACCGCAUAAGCGCACGGUUCCGCAUGGAACAGUGUGAAAAACUCCGGUGGUAUACGAUGGAUCCGCGUCUGAUUAGCCAGUUGGCGGGGUAACGGCCCACCAAAGCGACGAUCAGUAGCCGGCCUGAGAGGGUGAACGGCCACAUUGGGACUGAGACACGGCCCAAACUCCUACGGAAGGCAGCAG
rnacentral:rRNA from 1 species